UAUGCUCCUUAAAUAUACAAACACACACACAUAUUAUCCAUCCAUCCAUUUUCUGAGCCGCUUAUCCUCACAAGGGUCGCGGGAGUGCUGGAGCCUAUCCCAGCUAUCUUCGGGCAGGAGGCGCGGGGUACACCCUGAACUGGUUGCCAGCCAAUCGCAGGGCACACAAACAAACCACCAUUUCCACUCACAUUCACACCUACGGGCAAUUUAGAGUCUUCAAUCAACCUACCAUGCAUGUUUUUGGGAUGUGGGAGGAAACCGGUGUGCCCGGAGAAAACCCACGCAGGUACGGGGAGAACAUGCAAACUCCACACAGGCGGGGCCGGGAUUUGAACCCCGGUCCUCAGAACGCUGAGGCAGACGCUCUAACCAAUCUUCCACCGUGCCGCACACAUAUUAUGUGUAUGUUUAUAUAUCUAUCCCAGUGAUCCCUCGUUGAACCACAGAUGCAUUAUUUGCCUUGAGUAUGUUGAUGGAAAAGAACAGAGAAGGUCAGAAAGAGCUACAUUGUGUCUUUGUAGAUCUAGAGCAGGGGUGCUCAAUGCGUCGAUCGUGAUCGACCAGUCGACCGCGAAGGUAGUAUUGGUAGAUCGCAUGACAUCGUGUGACAUAAAAAAAAAACAUCAGCCUAUCAUCCAUCCCGUUGCUUGAUAGGCUGACAGAUGAGGUUAGACUGGAAUCCCCGUGGACCUUGAUGUUUGCAGAAGACAUUGUGAUCUGCAGUGAAAACAGGGAGCAGGUGGAUUAACAGUUAGAAAGAUGGAGGCAUGCACUGGAAAGCAGUGGAAUGAAGAUUAGCCGAAGUAAAACAGAAUAUAUGUGCAUGAAUGAGAGGGGUGGUGGGGGAAGAGUGAGGCUACAGGGAGAAGAGAUAGCAAGGGUGGAGGACUUUAAAUACUUGGGGUCAACCGUCCAGAGCAAUGGUGAGUGUGGUCAGGAAGUGAAGAAACUGGUCCAAGCAGGUUGGAAUGGGUGGAGGAAGGUGUCAGGUGUGUUAUGUGACAGAAGAGUCUCUGCUAGGAUUAAGGGCAAAGUUUAUAAAACAGUGGUGAGCCCAGCCAUGAUGUACGGAUUAGAGACAGUGGCACUGAAGAGACAACAGGAAGCAGAGCUGAAGGUGGCGGAAAUUAAGAUGUUGAGGUUCACUCUCGGAGUGACCAGGUUGGAUAAAAUUAGAAAUGAGCUCAUUAGCGGGACAGCCGAGGUUCGAUGUUUUAGAGACAAAGUUAGAGAGAGCAGACUUCGAUGGUUUGGACACGUCCAGAGGAGAAAUAGUGAGUAUAUUGGUAGAAGGAUUAUGAGGAUGGAGAUGCCAGGAAAGAGAGCUAGAGGAAGACCAAUGAGAAGGUUGAUGGAUGUCGUGAGGGAAGACAUGGCAGUUGGUGUUAGAGAGGAGGAUGCAGGAGAUAGGUUUACAUGGAAAAGGAUGACGCGCUGUGGCGACCCCUGAAGGGACAAGCCGAAAGGAAAAGAAGAAGAUACAGUAAUUAACAUUCAUCAACAUUGCCUUCUGAGAGAGGUGAAGAGGCUUGUGUUGGUGGCGGAGGAGAGGCUCUCACUUGACUCGUAGAUUCGUCAGGUUCAUCAGCACCUUCUUCAACCUCUUCAUUGUCGUCAUCGGGCAAGAUUUGGUCGUACAGAGCUUUGGCCUUUGUCCUGAUCAUAUUAGUGUCCAAACUCCUACUACUACUUUGAGCGGCACGCCGGAACAAGCUUGUGCCGCAUUUUGUCAGAUGGCUCAUCAUCUUGACGAAUAAUUCAACUCAUAUCAACUGCUAGCAGCAGAUCCUCAUCCCAGUACACGGCAGAAAGAAAGGAGAAAAAAAACACAAAGGUAAGAGCUAAACUUGCUAACUUUUAGCGUUUUGCUAAUUACUUCUGUAAAUGUUAUGACUGUAUGAAUAAAUACACACUAACAUCUGUUGGCAAUACUGAUUUCAAUGUACAAUCCACAGUUCAUGCAUCUUCCAAAAAUGGACCUUCCACUGAUGCUUGCAGUGCAAACAAAGUCGUCACCGUAUCGUGGUGGAGAGGUUUCUGUGCCCCAAUGAUCGGAGGAACUAAGUUGCCUUGGGCUUUAUGCCCCUGGUAGGGUCACACAUGACAAACAGGUUCUAGGCUCAAAGAACCCCUUAUGAUAAAAAUACCUCGUUUUCCCUCGCCCGGACACGGUUUACCGGGACCCCCUCUGGAGCCAGGCCUGGAGGUGGGGCUUGAUGGGUCGAACCUGGGGCCUGACUGGGCACAGCCCAAAAAUGCAGCGUGGGGCCCCUUCUCAUGGGCUUACCACCUGUGGGAGGGGCCAGAGGGGUCAGACCUUGGAGGUUUGAUCCUCAGCUACAGAAGCUAGCUCUAGGGACGUGGAACAUCACCUCUCUGGCAGGGAUAGAGCCUGUGAGAGGUUGGAGAAAUUCCGACUGGAUAUAGUCGAUCUCACCUCGACAUACAGUUUGGGCUCCGGUACCAGCCUUUUCGGGAGGGGUUGGACUCUCUUCCACUCUGGAGUUGCCCACGGUGAGAGGUGCCGAGCAGGUGUGGGCAUACUGGUUACCCCAUGUCUUUGUGCCAGUCGGUUGGGGUUCACCCCGGUGGAUGAGAGCGUAGCCUCCCUCCAUCUUCAAUUAUCAACUUAUAUGGUCAUGUUAUCGGACUUGCGGCUACCUGUCUUGGACACUUGGGUGAAGAGAGGGCUGGAGCUGUCAACCGAUCACCACCUGGUGGUAAGUUCGCUCUGUUGGUGGGGGAAGAUGCCAGUCCGACCUGGCAGACACAAGGGUAUUGUGAGGGCUUGUUGGGAACAUCUAGCAGAGUCCCCUGUCAAAAGGAGUUUCAACUCCUACCUCCGGCAGAACUUUGUGUACGUCCCAGGGAACGGUGGGGACAUUGAGUGUGAGUGGAACAUAUUCCGUGCCUCCGUUGUUGGGGCGGCCGACCAGAGCUGUGGCCGUAAGGUGGUGGGUGCCUGUCAUGGCCGCAAUCCCCGAACCCGUUGGUGGACACCAGCUGUAAGGGAUGUCGUCAAGGUGAAGGAGUCCUAUUGGGCCUUUACGGCUUGAGGACUUGAGAGGCAGUUGAUGGGUACCGGCUACCCAAGCAGAACAUAGUUUUGUUGGUCGCUGAGGAAAAAACACGGGCAUAAGAGUGGAAGCGGAUCGGUGCAGCGUCUGCAGUAAUGCAGACUCUAUAUCGGUCUGUCAUGGUAAAGAAGGAGCUGAGCCAAAAGGUGAAGCUCUCAAUUUACCCAUCUAUCGAUCUACGUUUCUACCCUCACCUACAGUUAUGAGCUGUUCGUAAUGACCGAAAGAAGAUGAGCCAAAAUGAGUUUCCUUCGCAGGGUGUCUGGGGUCUUCCUUCGAGAUAGGGUGAGAAGCUCGUUCAUUCAGGAGGGGCUCAGAGUCGAGCCGCUGCUCCUCCGUAUCAAGAGGAGACAGAUGAGGUGGCUCGGGCAUGUGAUUAGGAUGUCCCCUGGACGCCUGCCUGGUGAGGUGUUCCGGGCACCUCCCACCGGGAGGAGGUCCCAGGGACGACCCAGGACAUGAUGGCGAGAAUUUGUCCCAGCUUGCCCGGAAAUGCCUCGGGAUUGCCCCGAAGAGCUGUACAAAGUAGCUGAGGAGAGGGAAGUCUGAGUUUCCCUGCUUAAGCUGCUGCCCACGUGACCCAACCUCGGCAAACCGAAAGAACAUGAAUGGAUGGAUGGAUGGAUGGAUGGAUAUUUCUGUAAUAUACAGAAACUCCCAUUCUUGCUGGCAGGGAAACGAAGAAAGAUCACACAUUCACCAGCAGUGCGUAGAUGAAGAAAGGUUUAAAAAAAACAAGUCAUGGGGAAAAUUAUGGCUGCCAUGAAGAAAGACGAGCUGCUCCAGAAACAUCUAUACUCAUCAGAUUAUCCAUGCACAAUCUGACAGUCUGCCAAAGAGCAAAAAAAAAAAUUUAUGCCUACCGUGUCUGUCCCAGAAUGACAGAUGGGAAAACACACUCUCGCAUAUACCCACUAGAAAGAAGGCGAGGCCCUCAAGACGUCAUGUCAAAAUCUUACAUUGACAAAUUGUAAAUACAUUAUUUUGCAGUCAGAAACACAUGCGCACACACACAUACACACAAACGCGCCUAGAGGAACAUAACUGUAAAUAGCGUGCCAAUAGUUUGUGUGAAGUCUGAAAAUUUUACACAGUUGACUGUGAAUUUGUUUUUUGCCCUCAAAAGCACUUUUUCAUUGUUGUUAGUGGUGUUGUACAGAAGGAAAGCACCAUUCAGAUGUUUGAGGUGUCACUGAAGCAAAAGAAAUAUUAGUGUCAAAGUCUUUGUUGUGCCAAAAUACAUAAUUUCACAAAAAGCUUGUUUUCUCUGUUUUUUGUUCCAAAAUAGGCGAUUUGGGUGAAACCAACCUAUUUUCUACUGCUGAUUACUAAUUAAUGGAAUAAGGCAGAGACAACCUUUUUUUCUGAUGAAAGAAGAGAGUCUAAUAUUUAAUUAUGUCGUCUCCAUGUUUACAUAGUCAAAAAAACUAUUUCGAUGAGAAAGAGAGAGAGAGAGAGAGAGGGCACAUUUCAAGGUACCGGCAUGUACAGUAAAUGAAACCAGUGCGUGUGAGAGACUUUAGGCUUGAUUACACUUCACAAAACCAGUUAAUGUCUUCACAUUCUCUUCUGUUACCUUUUUUUUUUUUAAACUAGAUUUUACAAUAUAUUGCUCUUUUAAAAAAAAAAAAUGUGUGUUUUGGGGGGACAGGGACUGAUUAAUUGAAUUUCUAUUCAUUUUAGUGGGCAAAUAUGUUUUGAGAUAAAAGCAUGGUCACGGAACGAAUUAAACUCAUACCUCAAGGCACCACUGUAUACUGUUGAAUGAAUACUGUACUUUGAACGUUUCAAUCAAAACAGAAUAUUAGUCUUUUUAAAGACAAUGUUUGAUACGUGUUAGAUUGUGCAGGUAGCAAUAAAGUGUGGCCACUAAGUGUAUUAGCAAAUCAAUUUUGUUGAACUUUUACAGUAUCAUAUUCAACCGAGGCACCCAAAAAGCCAGAAUAGUGUUUGGUAUACAAUAAUUAAACACUGCAAGACCAGAGCACUGCAGAUUGGUGGUCUUGUCCCAUCACUGAGCAUCCGGCAAGUGACAUUUUUGUCCAA